UACAUAGGGGGCAAGCGUUAUCCGGAUUUACUGGGUGUAAAGGGUGCGUAGGCGGCUAUGCAAGUCAGGUGUGAAAACCCGGGGCUCAACCUCGGGAAUGCACUUGAAACUGUGUAGCUAGAGUACAGGAGAGGUAAGUGGAAUUCCUAGUGUAGCGGUAAAAUGCGUAGAUAUUAGGAAGAACACCAGUGGCGAAGGCGACUUACUGGACUGAAACUGACGCUGAGGCACGAAAGCGUGGGGAGCAAACAGG
rnacentral:rRNA from 1 species